GACACUUCCGGCCGGAUUUGUUCAGGAUGGUCGUUUCGUCUGGAGGCGAAAAUCGUUAGGGGCCUAUUCCACUGAGGAUUGUGCUUCAUUAAUACGCGAGAGUUCAUCCCAAGUACGAAGCAGUAGUUCCGGCACCAGCUACAAACAUUUCGAACAACGUCAGAAAGUUCGGAUUGAAGCAGAAUAUUAAAAGAAAACGACGCGGAAAAAAGUACUAAUUAUUUUAAAUCAACGAAAAAAACUAUAAAAAUACAAUAAAACUUACCAUAUUUACCAUUAAUUUCAAUGUAUAAAUAUAUGUUUUACAGUACAAUUUAGUGGAGAGAAAAAAAUAAAUACAAUGAAAAUACAAUGAA